rnacentral:rRNA from 1 species
GUUUAACAAAAACAUGUCUUUUUGAUUAUAAUUUAAAGUCUAGCCUGCCCAAUGAAUAGAAUUAAAUGGCCGCGGUAUAUUGACUGUGCAAAGGUAGCAUAAUCAUUAGUUUUUUAAUUGAAAGCUGGAAUGAAGGGUUGAAUGAAAAAAUAACUGUCUCUAUUUAAAUUAAUUAGAAUUUUAUUUUUAAGUCAAAAAGCUUAAAUAUUUAUAAAAGACGAGAAGACCCUAUAGAGUUUAAUAUUUUUUAAAACUAAAAUAUUUAGUAUUUUUGUUUUUAUUUUUAAUAAAAUAUUUAGUUGGGGUGAUUAAAAAACUUAUUAAACUUUUUUUUUAUGGUUACAUUAAUUUAUGAAUAUUUGAUCCUUUAAAUAAGAUUAUAAGAUUAAAUUACCUUAGGGAUAACAGCGUAAUUUUUUUUAAGAGUUCUAAUCGAAAAAAAAAAUUGCGACCUCGAUGUUGGAUUAAAA